CAUAGCCGGUGACUGGAGUUCAGACGUGUGCUCUUCCGAUCUGUUUCCCAGUCACGAUAUCGACCGAAAGCUCAACAACGCCUAGGGACUCCCUGAGUAAUGCGAUACACGUGAAACUUCGCAUGAAUCUGUGCCGACCACGGCAUAAGGCUAAAUACUCGCCAGUGACCGACAGUGAACAAGUACCGCGAGGGAAAGGUGAAAAGAUCCGCCGUGAGCGAAGUGAAAUAGUACCUGAAACCACAUACCUACAAGGUGUCAGAGCCGGCUUGUCCGGUGAUGGCGUGCCUUUUGCAAAAUGAGUCUGCGAGUCAGUCUGUGUAGCAAGCCUAAGCCCUUCUGGGGUGGAGGCGGAGCGAAAGCAAGUCCGAAUAGGGCGCUAAGUUGCACGGGCUGAACCCGAAGCGGUGGUGAUCUACCCAUGGCCAGGUCGAAGCGUUGGUAAUACGACGUGGAGGACCGAACUGGUGGACCUUGAGACGUCCUCGGAUGAGCUGUGGGUAGGGGUGAAAGGCUAAUCAAACCCCGUAAUAGCUGGUUCUCCCCGAAAUGUAUUUAGGUGCAGCGUCAUGCGCUUAUCGAGGGGGGUAGAGCACUGAAUGAGCUAGGGGGCAUACCCGCCUACCAAACUCAAUCAAACUCCGAAUACCCUCGAACGAAGCAUGGCAGUAAGACUGUGGGGGAUAAGCUUCAUAGUCGAAAGGGAAACAGCCCAGCUCAGCAGCUAAGGUGCCUAAAUAACGCUCAGUGGAAAGGAAGUGAGAUUUCUUUGACAGUGAGGAUGUUGGCUUAGAAGCAGCCACCAUUUAAACAGUGCGUAAUAGCUGACUCAUCGAGAGAUCUCGCGCCGAAAAUGAUUGGCGAUAAGCGUUAUACCGAAGCUCUGGACUGCACGAGUCAAGGCUCGUGCUUUGGUAGGGGAGCGUUCUGUGAGCGUCGAAGCUUGAAGGCGACUGACAGUGGAGUUCACAGAAGUGAGGAUGCAGACAUAAGUAACGUUAAGACGGGUGAAAUCCCCGUCCGCCGUAAACCCAAGGUUUCCUGGGCAACGAUCUUCGUCCCAGGGUUAGUCGGGAGCUAAGUCCAGGCCAUUUGGCGUAGGCGAUGCACAGCAGGUUAAUAUUCCUGCACCGGCUUUGGUCAAAGUACAGGUUCCCGGAAAUUGAGAGAUGAUGCCGAGCCGUAAGGCGAAGUGGAUGAUCCUAUGCUGUCAAGAAAAGCAUCUAGCGAGAAUUAAUGCGGCCCGUACCCGAAACCGACACAGGUGGUCAGGUAGAGAAUACCAAGGCGAUCGAGAGAAUCGUGGAUAAGGAACUCGGCAAAAUACCCCCGUAACUUCGGGAGAAGGGGGGCCAAUUGAAGUGUAGGAGUUUUCCUCCGAAGCUUUAGUCGGCCGCAGAGACUAGGCUCAAGCGACUGUUUACCAAAAACACAGGUCCGUGCGAAGUUGCAAAACGAUGUAUACGGACUGACGCCUGCCCGGUGCUGGAAGGUUAAGGGGAUCGGUUAGCCGUAAGGCGAAGCUGAAAACUUAAGCCCCAGUAAACGGCGGUGGUAACUAUAACCAUCCUAAGGUAGCGAAAUUCCUUGUCGGGUAAGUUCCGACCUGCACGAAUGGCGUAACGACUUGAGCGCUGUCUCAUCCGCGAACUCGG
rnacentral:rRNA from 1 species